ACCGAAAUAGCUUGUUGGGAGAGCGUUAGACUAUAGAUCGAAAAGUCCCUGGUUCGAUCCCGGGUUACGGCG
rnacentral:tRNA from 1 species